rnacentral:misc_RNA from 1 species
AAGUCGUAACAAGGUUUCCGUAGGUGAACCUGCGGAAGGAUCAUUAACACGUAUCCAAACGUUAAAACCCCCCCGUGAACCUUCAUUCUGCUCUUGUAACCCGCGUAGUUUGCAAUCUCUGAUAAAUCACAGCCCGGAAAGUUGUAGUGAUUCAGAGGCCUUUGGCUACGUGCGAACAUUGGAACAGGUAAUACAUUGGGUAAAAAAACCGAACACCUGUUAACAAUGGAUAUCUUGGUUCUC